GGGGGGGGGGGCGCUGGUGCCCAUCUCCAGCGGUCAACGGGCAAUCAGGCAGGGUACACCCUGGACAGAGAGCCAGUCCAUCGCAGGGCAACACAGAGACACACAGGACAAACAAUCACGCACACACACACACACACGCACUCACUCACCUAGGGACAAUUUAGACAGACCAAUUAACCUAACAUGCAUGUUUUUUUGGACUGUGGGAGGAAGCCGGAGUACCCGGAGAAAACCCACGCAUGCACAAGGAGAACAUGCAAACUCCAUGUAGAAAGAUCCCAGGCCGGGAAGCGAACCUUCUUGCUGCAAGGCAACAGCUCUAACCACUGCGCCACUGCGCACCCCACCCCCUAAGUGGAUCUACAAAAGGUCUCUGAUGCAGGGAAGAAUGAAUGGAUGGAUACAGCACAAUUAAGACACUCGUUUAUAUAGUUUAUCAGCAAAAAAAAGUUGAUUUGAGGGUGACUUGCACUUGAAGUUUGACUGAGAAUGUUUGUCUUCAAAAGUUAAAACAACUUUUAAAUAAACAUGAUGCUAUGUGUAAUAGGGGGCAUAAGUCAUGCCCAUCUGCUUCCAGUCCAUGGGCCAAAAAAAUGAAUGGGAGUCUUUGAGUACAUAAAUAUUAUACUUUGAUCCAGUUUGAUAUGUGCCAUGGAUUUCACACCUGAUGUCUGUGAAUUUUAAUGACACAUUUUGAUGCCAGGAUAGCGCUUAUAUUAGACUGGAGUCAAAAGUUAUUUUAGGUUUUGUGAGAAAAGACGUGGAGAACUCAGAACUGCUCAUCUCACCAAAUUGACAUUAUCGAACCAGACAAGAGAAGAAAAAUGGCUGAGUUUAGCAAGCUUUGCAACCUUCUUUCAGGACGACAGAAGCAGCAUUAAACAUGGAGAAAACCACUAUAAAUCUGGCCAUGUGGUAAGUAGCAGCUACGCUGCGGUGGCAUCAUAAAUGCAACGUCUGAUUUGUAGUCAUUUAAAUUAAACAUUUUUACAAGGUAAUAAAUCUUGCAUCACGUGACAGACAUAGUUGACACACAUUACUUUUCAUUUAAGUUGAAGUACAACAUACAUGUGAUUCAGGGCGUAAGGCAGAGUGGAUUACAAAAUAGCUUUUGUAGCCCUGUUCACUUGGGGACUCGUGAGCCGACUGGAAGGGGAGGAGAUUUGAGCUUCUUGUUUAUUUUUUUAGAUCAGGUCAUCUUCACCGGGAUUAAAAAAACAUUUUUAAUUAUUUAUUUCACUCUGAGUUUUUAUGCAGGCUGAGCAUGAAAACAGACUUCUACACCUAUCUCCUGCAUCAGCUUCUGAUAGGAAGCAGACAGUGAAACUCUAGGAUUUGAAAAUCGAGACAGAUCUACGUCACACUGUCACUUAACAUUUAUGGACUCGCCCAUCUUCACUUGCGACGGGGAAGUCUAUUAUUGGUUUAGCAUCCAGGAUCCCAAAGAGAAUGACUUGUGUUAUUUGUGGAGAUAAAACACAAAUGUUGCAGAGCAAACAAAAUCAGUGCUAGUCGUGUUGCUGUUAGCCAAUCAGAGGCCAGAUGUCUAAAUAUCAGUAAAUAAGACCCCAAAACCUGCCGCCUGAAGCUACUUUCUGCUCCAGCUGACUCCUAUGUGAAUUCUAAGGGUUUGGGCCAAUGUUGGAAGAAUCCCAGCUUCACCAACUUGCAACUACAUCUCUUGUAUUUGUUACAAACCUUUAUUGCUGUCUAGUGAUCAGCUUAUCUGUAUUUGGAUGUUCUUCAUGUUUCAACAGUUGAUGCUUUUCUGUCUCUCUGCUGGUCAGGUUGAACAUCCUGCUUGGUGGCAUGAAACCACUGUACUUCCACAUGGUCAACGUGUGUUUGCACUGUGCUGUUACCUGCCUGCUCAUGUACACAUGUGAACGCUGCGUGUUUGAAAACCCACAUUUGGCCUUUGCCACAGCGGUCCUCUUUGCUGUUCAUCCCAUCCACACUGAGGCGGUGUCUGGUGUUGUUGGCAGGGCUGACGUCUUGGCUUGUCUGCUGUUCUUGGUGACAUUCCUCUCCUAUGUUAGGAGUGUAGGAGAAAGUGUCUCUGAGGACUCCGUGCCCUCCACAGCAUCCCCCUGGUUUCUGUUCAUCAGCUUGUUUCUGGGAACCUGUGCCAUGCUGGUGAAGGAGACUGGUAUCACUGUGUUUGGAGUGUGUCUUCUCUACGAUGCCCUGGUGCUCUGCUGCAGACCGCUCACUCAUCACGCUUCUGGUUCCAGACUCAAAAACCUGCCCCACAUCUGCAUCCCCUUCAUUAAACGAGCUUGCCUCAUCUCUGCAAAUCUGGUGAUCAUCAUGUCUGUUCGGCUGUGGCUGAUGGGUGGAUCCAUGCCUCUGUUUUCAGAGCAGGACAACCCUGCUUCCUUCUCGCCUCACCUGCUCACCAGAACUCUAACCUACUCAUACCUGUUGUCCUUCAACGCCUGGCUGCUGCUGGCCCCCAUUGUGCUCUGUUAUGACUGGCAGGUGGGCAGCAUUCCCCUGGUGGAGUCUGUGGUUGAUGUGAGGAAUGUUGCCACCCUGCUGCUGGCUGCUGUGAUGGUCGCACUCUGCAUGCACUGCAUCUUCUCUCUGCAGUGGCAGGAGAACAGGGAGGUGGUGGUGGGGCUUCUGUUCCUCGUGUUUCCCUUUAUUCCUGCCAGCAACCUUUUCUUCAGGGUGGGAUUUGUUGUUGCUGAGAGGGUGCUCUACAUGCCAAGUAUGGGUUACUGUAUUUUGGUGGUUCAUGGCUUCGGCCGGCUCUGCGCGGUGGCGGGUCGAUGGGGCACCAUGCUCCUCAGCAGCUCCAUGCUGCUGCUGCUGCUUCUCUUCUCCUGGAAAACGGUCCAACAGAACAACGUCUGGGUCUCCCGGGAGGCCCUGUUUCGUUCUGGGAUCCAGACUUUACCUCACAAUGCCAAAGUCCACUACAACUACGCCAACUUCCUGAAAGACAGCGGUCGACAUUCGGAAGCCGUUCACCACUACAGCCUUGCCCUCAGGUUAUAUCCCCGUCAUGCCAGCGCCAUGAACAAUCUGGGCACUCUGACUCACAGCCCAGAGGAAGCUGAGCGCUACUACAGGAAGGCGCUGGACAUCAACCCUCAACAUAACCGAGCUCUGUUUAACCUGGGGAACCUCAUCAAGUCCCAGGGCAAGGAGAAAGAGGCCGAGGCUCUGUUAAGAGACUCUAUUCGCUAUGGGCCUCACUUCGCUGAUGCUUACUCCAGUUUGGCAUCACUCUAUGCUGAGCAGAAACGCUUUGCUGAAGCAAAUGAAGUGUAUUUAAAAGGAAUAGAGAAUUGCCCCGACAACUCUGACCUACAUAACAACUAUGGAGUCUUUUUGGUGGAUACUGGAGAAGGCCAGCUAGCAUCUUCUCACUACAGGGAAGCAAUACGACUAAAGCCAGCUCAUUAUGUUGCCAUGGUGAAUCUGGGACGUCUGCUGAGAUCAUCCAAUGAGAAUAAAGAAGCCGAGUCUUGGUACAAGAGGGCCCUACGAGUGACCAGAAAAGUGGACAUCCUGGCUCCCCUCGGAGCUCUGUAUUAUAACACUGGUCGCUAUGAGGACGCCCUACUGGUAUACAAAGAGGCUGCUGUUCUGCAACCGGACAGCACCGACAUCUGGUUGGCUUUGGCCCAGGUUCUAGUCAUGGCUGGCAGCGCAGCUGAGGCAGAGGAGGUGACUCUGGACAUCAUUUCUAGAGAGAACAGCUGUCUUGAAUGUUACCGCCUCCUGUCUGCAAUCUACAGCAAACAUGGCAACUACACAAAGGCUCUGGAGGCUCUGGACCUGGCCCUGCAGCAGAACCCCAGUGACCUGACAGUGAGAGCAGAGCUGUAUUUCUCUAAAGGAAACCAGCUAAGAGAGAUGAAUCAGCUUGACCGGGCUUUUGAGAAACCAACUAAAGACAGCAAUGAUCUGAUUAGUAAUCAGCCUCUCCUCUGCUAGAGCUACCGGCUGGCCGUUAGACUCAAACCAAACCAGUCUCAGGCCUGGAUGAAUAUGGGAGGGAUCCAGCACAUCAAGGGAGACUAUGCAGCUGCCAGGAUGUACUACCAGCGGGCCCUGCUUCUGAGUCCCGGUUCCAAACUUCUGAAGGAAAACCUGGCUAAGCUGGAUCGGUUGGAGAAAAGACUAACUGGGGAGCAUUAAAACCAUUCUGAACUGAGUCCUGCUCAGUCAGAGCUGGAUGGCGUCUGUCCUGCAAGUGCAGAGACACUAGGCUGUUGGAUCAAGCAGUUCUUACAGCCUGCCUGUGAGGACUGACAAGACCUGGUCCAGACAUAUGGAUGUUGGGUACUGCACAAGAGAGGGAAGAAGGAGAUGAGUGGAUGAAGAUCAUCUAAACUCUGCAUCAGCUUUACUUCAUCCUAUCACGUUAGAUUUAAUGUUACUGAAGUUCUUGUUCCUUUGCUUUGCCUUUAAAAUGUUCUUGUAGUUAAAUCGGUGCAAAGAAAGUGUGUGAAAAUGUAUCUAUCAUGAAGGAAAUGUGUGUGUGUGUGUGUGUGUGUGUGUGUGUGUGUGUGUGUGUGUGUGUGUGUGUGUGUGUGUGUGUGUGUUGGUCCUUGGGGAGCUUUAACAAAGAAAGUUUAGCUUUUAGGUCCACUUAAAAGUUUUGUGGAGCUUUCAUUUGAAUUUAUUCAGGAUGAGGUAUUUAUUUAUGAUGUUUUGUUUUUAAAAAUGAGACCAAAGAUUUUUUUAAACAUCUUUGGUGUGUUCUUUCUGUGUUCGGUUUCUAAUUCCAUUUUUGGUUCUUUUUAAAACACAGGAAAGGUUUUUCUUUACCUGCUAAAGUUUCAUUUGCGGCUGCAAACAUCGUCAGAGCUGAUGCUGAUGGUGGCGUCACUUCCUUCUCCGUUUAUCUGCGGGCAGCAGAGGACGUUGUCGCCCUCUGCUGCCCACUCUCCCCUCCGGUGAUGCAGUCCCAUGCGCGAUCAAAUCUCUAUGGCUUCUUUAAUCCAUCUUUUGUAUUUCUGUUGUUCGGUGUUUAUGAUCCUUGUGUUGUCCCAGUCCAUUACAUGGUUUUCUCUUAUGCAGUGAUCUGUUACGGCUGACUUCUUUAUUGUACUUUCUGCUUCUUCUUUUGCUGCUCUCGUAUGUUUUCGACUUGCCUCUUUCUUGCACUCCUUUCUAUGUUCUAUUGUUGGUGUGUUGAGUUGGCGUCCGGUUUCUCCUAUGUAUGUUUUAUUGCAGAGUUUGAAUGGGAUUCCGUAAACGAAUCCACAUUUAAGUCCAGCUGAUAUUUUGUCUUUUGGGUGUACUAGUCUGUUUCUAAUUGUUGUGUAUGGUUUUGUUGGUGUGUUUAUGUUGUGUUUUUUCAUUGUUGCUCUUAUUUUUUCUGUUAGGCCUUUGAUGUAUGGUAAGGUUAUCACUGGUUUUGGUUCUUGUCUUUCUGGGUUUCUGGUUCUUUGCUUUGGUUGUUUUUUUCUUUCUGUUGUUGUUUGCCGUUUUCCUUUGUUUAUUGUCCAUGUCGGGUAUCCGCAGGGCCCAAAGCAAAGAACCAGAAACCCAGAAAGACAAGAACCAAAACCAGUGAUAACCUUACCAUACAUCAAAGGCGUAACAGAAAAAGUAAGAGCAACAAUGAAAAAACUACAUAAACACACCAACAAAACCAUACACAACAGUUAGAAACAGACUAGUACACCCAAAAGACAAGAUACCAGCUGGACUUAAAUGUGGAGUCGUUUACGAAAUCCCAUGCAAACUCUGCAAUAAAACAUACAUAGGAGAAACCGGACGCCAACUCAACACACGAACAAUAGAACAUAGAAAGGAGUGCGAGAAAGAGGCAAGUCGAAAACACACAAGAGCAGCAAAAGAAGAAGCAGAAAGCACAAUAAAGAAGUCAGCCGUAACAGAUCACUGCACAAGAGAAAACCAUAUAAUGGACUGGGACAACACAAGGAUCAUAAACACCGAACAACAGAAAUACAAAAGAUGGAUAAAAGAAGCAAUAGAGAUAAGGAGACGUGGAUGUGGGACCAUGAACAGAGACGAUGGAGUUUACUCAUUGGAUCGCGCAUGGGACUGAAUCAUCGGAGAGGGGAGAGAUAAACGGAUAAAUGGAGAAGUAAAUGACGCCACCAUCAGCGUCAGCUCUGACGAUGUUUGCAGCCGCAAAUGAAACGUUAGCAGGUAAAGAAAAACCUUUCCUGUGUUUUAAAAAGAACUAAAAAUGGAAUUAGAGGCCAAAGAUUUCUGGUCUGCAUCACACAGAUCUAUGUUCAGAUCACAAAGGGUAAACCUCAAAACAGGAAUAAAAGUUGGACAGCGAACAGAAUGAAAUAAUAAUUAUAAUUAUAGUAAUAAUGAUGAAAGAUGGCUGAUCACACUGAACUACAGCAUGAAUGAGAUGAGUCAUCUAAAAACACUGAUUAGAGAGAUUAAUGAAUGUUUAAUGAGUCCAACAGAGUUCUAGACUGCUCCAGAAAGUAGAAGUGGACCUUUGAGUUAACAAAAUCAUAUUUUGACCUCAGUGGCUCUCAUAAAGAAAAUAAAGUUUAUGUUAUGUUUACAAUGA